CGUUCUGUGGCCGAAUUGGUCACAGGCGAGGUUGCGGGUUCGAGUCCCGCUGGAACGG
rnacentral:tRNA from 1 species